rnacentral:rRNA from 1 species
UAAGGAAUAUUGGUCAAUGGACGCAAGUCUGAACCAGCCAUGCCGCGUGAAGGAUGAAGGUCCUCUGGAUUGUAAACUUCUUUUAUCUGGGACGAAAACGGGAUUAUUAUCUCAAUUGACGGUACCAGAGGAAUAAGCACCGGCUAACUCCGUGCCAGCAGCCGCGGUAAUACGGAGGGUGCGAGCGUUAUCAGGAUUUACUGGGUUUAAAGGGUGCGUAGGUGGGCUUAUAAGUCAGUGGUGAAAUCUCCGAGCUUAACUUGGAAACUUCCGUUGAUACUAUAGGUCUUGAAUUAUCUGGAGGUAAGCGGAAUAUGUCAUGUAGCGGUGAAAUGCUUAGAUAUGACAUAGGACACCAAUUGCGAAGGCAGCUUACUACAUAUAAAUUGACGCUGAGGCACGAAAGCGUG